UAUAUUUUAGUGUUAAGAUGCACAGGGAAUUUUGAUUUCCCAAGUAUGGUUUAAUCCCAUGAAAUAUAA
rnacentral:tRNA from 1 species